UCUCCUGGAAACGGGUGGUAAUGCCGGAUGCUCCAGUUGACCGCAUGGUCCUCUGGGAAAGCUUUUGCGGUAUGGGAUGGGGUCGCGUCCUAUCAGCUUGAUGGCGGGGUAACGGCCCACCAUGGCUUCGACGGGUAGCCGGCCUGAGAGGGCGACCGGCCACAUUGGGACUGAGAUACGGCCCAGACUCCUACGGGAGGCAGCAGUGGGGAAUAUUGCACAAUGGGCGCAAGCCUGAUGCAGCGACGCCGCGUGCGGGAUGACGGCCUUCGGGUUGUAAACCGCUUUUGACUGGGAGCAAGCCCUUCGGGGUGAGUGUACCUUUCGAAUAAGCACCGGCUAACUACGUGCCAGCAGCCGCGGUAAUACGUAGGGUGCAAGCGUUAUCCGGAAUUAUUGGGCGUAAAGGGCUCGUAGGCGGUUCGUCGCGUCCGGUGUGAAAGUCCAUCGCUUAACGGUGGAUCCGCGCCGGGUACGGGCGGGCUUGAGUGCGGUAGGGGAGACUGGAAUUCCCGGUGUAACGGUGGAAUGUGUAGAUAUCGGGAAGAACACC
rnacentral:rRNA from 1 species